AGAGUUUGAUCAUGGCUCAGAUUGUAACGCUGGCGGCGAUGCUUUACACAUGCAAGUCGAACGGCAGCACAGGGAGCUUGCUCCCGGGUGGCGAGUGGCGCACGGGUGAGUAAUACAUCGGAACGUGUCCUGUUGUGGGGGAGUAACUGCUCGAAAGGGUGGCUAAUACCGCAUGAGACCUGAGGGUGAAAGCGGGGGAGUCGCAAGACCUCGCGCAAUUGGAGCGGCCGAUGCCCGAUUAGCUAGUUGGUGAGGUAAAGGCUCACCAAGGCGACGAUCGGUAGCUGGUCUGAGAGGACGACCAGCCACACUGGGACUGAGACACGGCCCAGACUCCUACGGGAGGCAGCA
rnacentral:rRNA from 1 species